GGUUGAUCCUGCCAGUUGUCAUAUGCUUGUCUCAGAGAUUAAGCCAUGCAUGUGUGAGUAUGGCGGGGUAUACCCCGCGAAACUGCGAAUGGCUCAAUAAAUCAGUGAUAGUUUCCUCGAUGGAUGCUUUGCUAUCGGAUACCCGUAGUAAAUCUAGAGCUAAUACGUUUGUGCGAGGGGGGUCGUAGCCCCCUGCGAGUAGCAGAUCUAGGCCGGCAGACAUUCGUGUCUAUCGUGUCGAGUCAUGAUAUUUGGCGAAUCGGCGUGUGUCCGAUGCAUCGACAAGAUUU
rnacentral:rRNA from 1 species